rnacentral:ncRNA from 2 species
CGCCCGAAGCGGGGGUACCGCGGCCAUCGUGCCGCGGUUGAGACAGUCCCUUGGAACCUGAUCCGGUUGAUACCGGCGUAGGGAAGCUUCGCAAUGCCCCAU